rnacentral:rRNA from 1 species
GUCGAGAAUCAUUCACAAUGGGGGAAACCCUGAUGGUGUGACGCCGCGUGGAGGAUGAAGGUCUUCGGAUUGUAAACUCCUGUCAUGUGGGAGUAAAGCCGGGUGUUAAAUGCAUGCCGGUCUGAGAGUACCACAAGAGGAAGGGACGGCUAACUCUGUGCCAGCAGCCGCGGUAAUACAGAGGUCCCAAGCGUUGUUCGGAAUCACUGGGCGUAAAGGGUGCGUAGGCGGCGCGGAAAGUCAGGGGUGAAAUCCCGGGGCUCAACCUCGGAACUGCAUCUGAUACUGCCAUGCUUGAGGGCUGGAGAGGUAACUGGAAUUCUCGGUGUAGCAGUGAAAUGCGUGGAUAUCGAGAGGAACACUCGUGGCGAAGGCGAGUUACUGGACAGCAUCUGACGCUGAGGCACGAAGGCCAGGGGAGCGAAAGGGAUUAGAAACCCCGGUAGUCC